UCUGGUAUGAAAGGUUUGACGAGGGAAUUACUGUCUCAUGCUAAUUUUAAUUAGAAUUUUAUCUUUGAGUUAAAAAGCUCAAAUACUUCUGAAAGACGAGAAGACCCUAUAGAGUUUUAUACACUACUUAUUCUCUAGUUUUUAGUAUUUUAAGUGGGGGACUGGGUAGUGUAUUUUGCUGGGGUGGCAGGAAAAUUGAGUUAACUUUUUUUAGUAUUAAACAUUUUUAAAUGAAUAGAUGAUCCAGUAGUACUGAUUAUAAGAUUAAAUUACCUUAGGGAUAACAGC
rnacentral:rRNA from 1 species